UUGGAAAGACUUUUGUUCAGAUUUUUACAGAGAGAGAUGGUGAAGAGUUGUGAGAAUGUAGCUUUCUAGCUACGAAUGUUAAAGUUAUAGGGUUUGAAUAAAGCAGAGACAAAGACAAAGAAUGAAGUUUCGACGAAGUUUCAUCUGUGGGAUCCAUUGGUUUCAUCUAAACCGUCCAAUUUCAACAUCGUACGGUGGUAUGAGAUUUUUCUAUUAAUGAAUAAACUUAAAUUGCUAAUAGUUUAGAUGUUGUCUUAAAUACUAAGUAACAAAACUUUAAUAACUUUAAUAUAAAAUUAAAGUUUAGCAGAUUGUUUGAAUAUACUCCGUGUGGUUCAUAACAAGUGGACUGCAUUUUGACACUUUUUAUUAGUCAAAAAUAUUAUUUUAAAUUUAAAUAUAAUUUGUAUCGAUUUAAAAAUUAAUACUAACUGCUAAAUGUGUUAAUUUUAUCUAAAUUACUAUUGACUAAAUAGUUAUAGUUAUUAAUGACAUAAAUAUAUUUUUCAGUCAAAAUGUCAGAGUAAUCUUUUUUUUGUUUCAAAAUAAUACAUAUUUUAAAUUUUCACAUAUAUUAAUAAAAUAUAGUAUUAAAUGAUAAUUUUUUUCUGAUCAUGUAUUUCAUAUAAUUCUGAACUAAAAAUUUAGUAAAUACAGUUAUUUUUAAAAAAUUACAGUUAAUUAUUAUUAGUUAAAAAUAUAUAUUACAAAUAUGAAAAUGUAUUUUUUUUCUUUAAAACAUGCAUGUAUAUGAAAUUAUACAAGAACUAAGUCCCACGAUUUUUAUACUAGGUGAUGAUUGUUUCAAUAGUUUUUAGUUUUAGUUUUUGGUUUUUUGAUUUUAGUUUUUGGUUUUUAGAUUUUGGUUUUUGGUUUUCAGCUUUUGGUUUUUGGUUUUUAGAUUUAGAUUUUGGUUUUUGGUUUUGCAAUAUUUUUUUUAUUUUUGCAAAAAUUAAUUAAUGAGUUACUUUGAAAUAAUACAACAAAAUAGAAAUAAAUAUUUAUAUUUACAAUUAAAAUUAUCAAAAUAUUGUAAUAAUUAUUUUAAAUUAAAAUAUAAUAACAUAUUAAUAUUUAAAAGUUUGAAACUACUUUGAAUUUUUUCUUAUAUAAAUUAUUUUUAAUUUUAUAAUAUAUUGUAUUACUAAAACAUAUUCUGUUUUUAUAAUUUUUGUUAUUUUUAAUGUGACUAGUAAUUAUUAAAAUUAUUCUAUUAUUUUAUAUAGAGAAAUUAAUAACUAAGUUUUAAAAUUAAUUAAUAUUAUUUAUAAACUAUAUAAAUUUAUUUUACAGAUAUUAAACACAAAUAAGUUAUAUCACAUUAUUGUUUAAAUUAUAGCUAAUGUACCAAAAAUUGUAUGAUUAUUUAUCUUUAUGAAAAUGUUAUUUAUUAAUUAUUAAUUAAUUAAAUGUUGUAGUUUCUAUCAAGAAAAAUCAAAAUUCGUUUUUCCUUUUAAAAGCUCAUAAAAGUUGGUUUUUGGUUUUUCUUCACAAAUUGGUUAAACUUUUCAAAAACUAGUUUCCCUAAAUAUUAGGGAAUCUAUUUAUUAGAAAUCUUGAUUGGCAAAUCAAAUGGUUUCUACAAAAACAAAAAUUAAAAACUAAAACUUGAUUGGAUGAAAAAUGGUUUUUGCAAAAACAAAAACCAAAAACUAAAGCAAAAAUCACAAACAAUCAAUGUCAUAAUACCGGAAAGCCAUUUGGUAACUUUUACUCAAAAUACAUGAGUCGAUGUGUUAGCAUUCUAACUAUUCAUAUAGAUUCUGUCACAACUCUAGUAAUUGGCCAAGAUAUAGUCAUAUAGAUAGCUUCAUAUCUCUCACUUGAUGCGCUAAUAUCUUCUUUAUACUUUUGAGAAUAGAGUCGAAUUUGACAUCGGCACGACCUGUUCCACAGCAUCAUUCUUGAGCCGUUGAUUAGCAUCUCAUGUAGCCUCCAGCCUCCCAAUUAUCUCAGUACAUCCGACAGAGCUCCAACACCUUCAGCGUGAACUAGUUAUAUAGAUAGCCACUAGUCCUUUAGAAAACAAAUAGAUAGCCGCUAGUCGAAAUAAGAAAAUUUUAUUUUCAUGUGUAUCUCAUAUACGGGCCUUUAUUGGAUAUUUUAAUGAAAAGCUAUAUCCACC
rnacentral:lncRNA from 1 species